UACGUAGGGGGCAAGCGUUGUCCGGAGUUACUGGGCGUAAAGCGCACGCAGGCGGUCGCGUAAGAGUGCGGGGACAGUGGGCGGCUUAACUGCCCAAGGGUCGCACAGACUGCGUGACUGGAGGGCCAGAGAGGGACCUGGAAUUCCGGGUGGAGCGGUGAAAUGCGUAGAGAUCCGGAGGAACACCAAUGGCGAAGGCAGGGUCCUGGCUGGCACCUGGCGCUCAUGUGCGAAAGCCAGGGGAGCGAACGGG
rnacentral:rRNA from 1 species